AACGAACGCUGGCGGCAUGCCUAACACAUGCAAGUCGAACGAGACCUUCGGGUCUAGGGGGGCACGGGUGGGUAAGGCGGGGGAACCAGCACGUAGGUACGGAAUAACUGACCGAGGGGGGUGCUAAGACAGGAGAAUGUAAUAGGAGCAAGGAUCUAUCGCCUUAGGGUGGGCCCGGGAUGGAUUAGCUAGUUGGUAGGGUAAACGCGUACCAAGGCGACGAUCCAGAGGUAGUCUGAGAGGAUGCUCAGCAACACUGGGACUGAGCCACGGCCCAGACGCCUACGGGAGGCAGCAGUGGGUAAUCUUGGACAGUGGGCGAAAGCCUGCUCCACCACUGCCGCGUGAGUGAUGAUGGCCUUAGGGUUGUAAUGCUCUUUUACCCGGGAGUAUAAUGACAGUACCGGUAGAAUAAGCCCCGCCUAAUUCCGU
rnacentral:rRNA from 1 species